rnacentral:rRNA from 1 species
AUUGAACGCUGGCGGCAGGCCUAACACAUGCAAGUCGAACGAGUGGCGGACGGGUGAGUAAUGUCUGGGAAACUGCCUGAUGGAGGGGGAUAACUACUGGAAACGGUAGCUAAUACCGCAUACCAUCGGAUGUGCCCAGAUGGGAUUAGCUAGUAGGUGGGGUAAAGGCUCACCUAGGCGACGAUCCCUAGCUGGUCUGAGAGGAUGACCGGCAAAACGGAAACUGAGACACGGUCAAGACUCCUACGGGAGGAAGAAGUGGGGAAGAUUGCACAAUGGGGGAAAGCCUAAUGCAGCCAUGCCGGGUGUAUGAAGAAGGCCUUCGGGUGGUAAAGUACUUUCAGCGGGGAGGCGUAACCCGCAGAAGAAGCACCGUCUAACUCCGUGCCAGCAGCAGCGGUAUAC